UUGCUAGGAAUUUUAGCAUAUUCUGCAUGUCUAAAUAUUUUGGGCAAAUGUUUUAAAAAUGUCAAAUAAAAAAUAUCUUAUGGUGCCAAGUACUGCAAAGCUGUCAUAAAAGUGGGUGAGAGAAGCGAAGCACGCAGGAACACAAGGCUCACAGGGCGGAGUUGUUUUCUGGAUUUUGAAAGAAAGAACCCAGCAAGAAGCAGUGAUAGAAACGAAGUGAGAAGCAAAGCUCGAAGUGAAGUAAGGAGCAAAGCGAAUACAAUAAGCAGCGCGAAAAGCAAACAAGAAGCAAAGUGAGAAGUAAGUUAAAAAGCAAAGCGAGAAACAGCAAGAAGAAAUUAAGAAGUAAUGCAAGAAGCAAUAUGAGAAGAAAAGCGAGAAGCAAACUGAAAAGCAAAGGGAAAAGCAAAGCAUGAAGAAAGUCGAUUAGCAAAGCAGCAAGCAAAGUGAGAAGCGCAACGCUAAGUGUAACUCAAAAAGGAACGUAAUAAUUAACAAAACAAGAAGUGCAAAGAGAAUCAAAGAGGAGCAAAAAUAAAAUGAAGAUCGGCAAGCAUAGCGAAAGUUGAAGAAAGAAGUAAAGCAAGAAGUUCAAGCAAAUAAAUGAGAACAAAUUUAAAUAAAAUAAAAGUAAGCCAUCAAGAGAAGUGAACAGAGAAGUAACAAAAAGAGGUAAAGCAGAAAUCGAAAGGAUUCAAAACAAGAUGCCUUGUUAAGAAGCGAACAAAUCCUAUGUCAAAUUAGUUGUGCUUUUCAACCCUUCAAGCAUUGAUGUCUCCAGUUAGCUGUGUCGAUCAACAAUUCCGGGUAAACGCAAUUCCUAAAGGACACAUCGAACCAACUCAAUCAUAUUUCAUCAAACAAAGGGCCAAAACGACAAAAUGGACGGCAAUAAAAUAAACAAAAAAAAAAAAACAAAAAAUGUUACAAAACGUGGCUGCCGUUUUUGGCCAAUUCUAAGGCCCAUUUAAAAGCGUUUGGGGAGUGGUCAGACAAUUUGGCCAGGCCAGCUGCAAAAACCCAAGGCACAGGUGUGGGCCGCAUCCGCAAUGCAAGAUAUCUUUAUCAGCAGUUACAAGCACCGCUUUAGUUCCAGUCUUGAAGCCACAUGUCUGGAAGGGUAUUUAGCAUACGACCGGUCGAAGUUAGCCCUUCUCUCUAGUUUUAUUUCAUUUGUUGGUAAUGUUAACGGUAAAGCUAUCGACAUCGGAUUGGCCUCCCAGUCGCUCGUUAUGGAUGCGCGCCAAUUGCUCCGGUUGGACUGCAGCAGACGCAACGCUUUGCCUCUUAGCCAAAUUACAUAAAUUAGUCGCGAGCUCUUUGCUGCUCUUCUUCUGCUAUUUUUUUGUUUUUUUUUGUUCUUGUUUUUGGUCUAAAUCAAAGCGCUACGAAAAUUUAAUGGACUCCUGUGUAAAGUUUGUGUUCAAAAGAAACGCACCCAAAAAAAAGGAAAUAAAAACCAGGACAGACAACAACAAAUGAAACGAAACGUCGAAUACGUGAUAUUUAGGCGAAGUCAAAAUAAAAUGCAAGGCAACUAUAAUCCAGUAGUCGACCGGGCGAUACCCUGUGGGCAGGUCUAUGCUGAAAUGGCAUUUACGUACAUAUAUUUAUCAAAACUUUAU